GUGGGCGUAGCUCAGUUGGUAGAGCCCCGGAUUGUGAUUCCGGUGGUCGUGGGUUCAAACCCCAUCGCCCACCCCA
rnacentral:tRNA from 1 species